UCACAGAUAUGCGACGCUGGUAGCGAACGUGUCAAAAAAAAGUAAGCGUUUUUAGCCCUUACAGAAUUCCCGCGGUAACGAUUGUCGCGCACCGAGUCCAAAUAGUGAAAGGGGUGGCGGGGAUCGAUGGAGUGGGUCGAAAGAAAAAAUCCGGCAUAAAAUUAACAGUAUACAGCUUGCAGAAUGCAGUUUGUUGCUCACCGGCAAUAUUUCACGAUGGCCUCUCCCGCGAAGGCCGAGCUAGGGGUUCGUUCUAGAGGGGGGUGUGCAACAAUGGAACCCUUUACCCAGCCCCUAGCGCCCAGCCAACAUCCAUACAUCAUCAUUCAUACUGAAAAAAAACCUGGGGGCACCUAUGGCAGUCUACGCUUGGAGGGGUUCUUCGAAAUUUCAAAGUACCGAGUACGCAUCAAGUACUUUCUAAUGCUACGUUGGAUUUUCGGUUCGUCUGGCUCACCGUGUCCAAGUUCCACCUUCGAUGGCCACUGGUUCCGCGGAUUUAGGUACCUCAGAUAAUAAUGUUGUAACACUUGAUGAUCUAAAGGAAAUUGCUGAAGUUGCAGAAAAUUCAGCUCUUGUGCACAAGAACAUCAUUAAUUCCGAAGGGGUCUCUUCUUCACAUGCUUUGGUCAAUACAGUAUUAGCUACUUUCUCUGGUUUUAUCGGUUCAUUGAAUAAACUGACAUUGUAUUGGAUUUUUUUGUAAUGCAAUACUUCAGUGCAUCGCAAUGAAGAAGUUUUAUAUAAGAAAUAAUGGGAAUGAUUGAAGCAACGGUUGUUUCAAUGGUGAAAGUCACUGCCAAUGAAGGUUUCCAAAUAAAACCGUGAAGUUCCUGCGGUUAUUUUAUUCUCAAAAACCACCUGGCAUCUUUUAAAAAUCCACCACGCCCCGAAAACCCGAAAGGGGUUCCACCAGUAGUAAACAAUGACGUGCAAAACUGCCGCGGAGGGUGAAGAAAAAUAAUGUUGAGCUAUUGCGAAAAGGCGUAAAAACCGUUUGAUUAUUUACAAUUCCUUUUCCCUCUACUAAAAAAUUUCCAGAAGUGGCUACCGAAAAUACUGCUUCCUUGAUGUGAACAAAAUUUUAUUCAACAAAUGUGCCUAACAAAUUUCAUAGCAUGCCUAUUCAUGGCAUUCGUGGCACAAAAAAGGUCCCCAAGAAGAAGACGAAGAAGUAUCGAUCAAUCAUCGAUUCAAAACGAUCCUGAAACGUCGAUGUGUUAUCUGGAGUGCGAAAGGAAAGGGAAAGAACGCCGAAUGAGAAACGUAAUCCGCUUU